UAGAGUUUGAUCCUGGCUCAGAGUGAACGCUGGCGGCAGGCCUAACACAUGCAAGUCGAACGGCAGCACAGCAGUAGCAAUACUGUGGGUGGCGAGUGGCGGACGGGUGAGGAAUACAUCGGAAUCUGCCUAGUCGUGGGGGAUAACGUAGGGAAACUUACGCUAAUACCGCAUACGACCUACGGGUGAAAGCGGGGGAUCGCAAGACCUCGCGCGAUUAGAUGAGCCGAUGUCCGAUUAGCUAGUUGGCGGGGUAAUGGCCCACCAAGGCGACGAUCGGUAGCUGGUCUGAGAGGAUGAUCAGCCACACUGGAACUGAGACACGGUCCAGACUCCUACGGGAGGCAGCAGUGGGGAAUAUUGGACAAUGGGCGCAAGCCUGAUCCAGCCACGCCGCGUGGGUGAAGAAGGCCUUCGGGUCGUAAAGCACUUUCGGCCGGAACGAAAUCGCGCGAGUUAAUAACCCGCGUGGAUGACGGUACCGGAAGAAGAAGCACCGGCUAACUACGUGCCAGCAGCCCCGGUCAA
rnacentral:rRNA from 1 species